UACGUAGGGGGCGAGCGUUGUUCGGAAUCACUGGGCGUAAAGGGAGCGUAGGCGGGUUUUUAAGUCAGGUGUUUAAUCCCGGGGCCCAACCCCGGACAGGCACUUGAAACUGGGAAUCUUGAAUAGGGGAGAGGUCGGUGGAAUUGGAGGUGUAGCGGUGGAAUGCGUAGAGAUCUCCAAGAACACCCGUUGCGAAGGCGGCCGACUGGACCCAUAUUGACGCUGAGGCUCGAAAGCAUGGGGAGCAAACAGG
rnacentral:rRNA from 1 species